rnacentral:tRNA from 1 species
GGUAGCUAUAAUUUAAUGGUAGAAUAUUUGCUUGUGGUGCAUUGUAUUUGAGUUCAAAUCUCAAUAGUUAUC